rnacentral:rRNA from 1 species
GAUGAACGCUAGCGGGAGGCCUAACACAUGCCAGCCGAGCGGUAUUGUUUCUUCGGAAAUGAGAGAGCGGCGUACGGGUGCGUAACACGUGUGCAACCUGCCUUUAUCUGGGGGAUAGCCUUUCGAAAGGAAGAUUAAUACUCCAUAAUAUAUUGAACGGCAUCGUUUAAUAUUGAAAGCUCCGGCGGAUAGAGAUGGGCACGCGCAAGAUUAGCUAGUUGGUGAGGUAACGGCUCACCAAGGCGAUGAUCUUUAGGGGGCCUGAGAGGGUGAUCCCCCACACUGGUACUGAGACACGGACCAGACUCCUACGGGAGGCAGCAGUGAGGAAUAUUGGUCAAUGGGUGCAAGCCUGAACCAGCCAUCCCGCGUGAAGGACGACUGCCCUAUGGGUUGUAAACUUCUUUUGUAUAGGGAUAAACCUACCCUCGAGAGGGUAGCUGAAGGUACUAUACGAAUAAGCACCGGCUAACUCCGUG